ACUCCUACGGGAGGCAGCAGCAAGGAAUUUUGUGCAAUGGGCGAAAGCCUGACACAGCAACGCCGCGUGAGGGAUGACGGCCUUCGGGUUGUAAACCUCUUUUAUCAGGGAAGAAUAAUGACGGUACCUGAUGAAUAAGCUUCGGCUAACUACGUGCCAGCAGCCGCGGUAAUA
rnacentral:rRNA from 1 species